rnacentral:rRNA from 1 species
GCGGUAAUACGUAGGGCGCAAGCGUAUCCGGAAUUAUUGGGCGUAAAGAGCUCGUAGGCGGUUUGUCGCGUCUGCUGUGAAAUCCGGAGGCUCAACCUCCGGCCUGCAGUGGGUACGGGCAGACUAGAGUGCGGUAGGGGAGAUUGGAAUUCCUGGUGUAGCGGUGGAAUGCGCAGAUAUCAGGAGGAACACCGAUGGCGAAGGCAGAUCUCUGGGCCGUAACUGACGCUGAGGAGCGAAAGGGUGGGGAGCAAACAGGCUUAGAUACCCUGGUAGUCCACCCCGUAAACGUUGGGAACUAGUUGUGGGGUCCAUUCCACGGAUUCCGUGACGCAGCUAACGCAUUAAGUUCCCCGCCUGGGGAGUACGGCCGCAAGGCUAAAACUCAAAGGAAUUGACGGGGACCCGCACAAGCGGCGGAGCAUGCGGAUUAAUUCGAUGCAACGCGAAGAACCUUACCAAGGCUUGACAUAUACGAGAACGGGCCAGAAAUGGUCAACUCUUUGGACACUCGUAAACAGGUGGUGCAUGGUUGUCGUCAGCUCGUGUCGUGAGAUGUUGGGUUAAGUCCCGCAACGAGCGCAACCCUCGUUCUAUGUUGCCAGCACGUAAUGGUGGGAACUCAUGGGAUACUGCCGGGGUCAACUCGGAGGAAGGUGGGGAUGACGUCAAAUCAUCAUGCCCCUUAUGUCUUGGGCUUCACGCAUGCUACAAUGGCCGGUACAAAGGGCUGCAAUACCGCGAGGUGGAGCGAAUCCCAAAAAGCCGGUCCCAGUUCGGAUUGAGGUCUGCAACUCGACCUCAUGAAGUCGGAGUCGCUAGUAAUCGCAGAUCAGCAACGCUGCGGUGAAUACGUUCCCGGGUCUUGUACACACCGCCCGUCAAGUCAUGAAAGUCGGUAACACCUGAAGCCGGUKGCCU